UUUUAUUGUCUUCAUAAUGAACGAUUAAACUCAAAAGCAGCUUCUGGUUUACAAUCUUCGACGAUUCUCUGCCAGAUCUAAAAGGUUUUGGAUCUAGAAAUCUUCUCGUUUCCCUCUUUGUAUUGAUUGUAAUCGAUUGUACCAGAAACAAUUUUAAUGGAAGCUAAAGGAAUCAUAUGUGGCCUCCCAGCAAAUAACGUUAUACCGAAACUCAGACAACAAGGUGAGCAAGAUCAAGGAAGUGAUGCGGAUGAUGAUGUGAAGGAGAUAACAAGGCUAGAGUACAGACGAUCUCUCGCUCACCUAGGCUACUUAAUACGCAUCGAGGUAGACGAAGAAGACAUUGAUCCACUGUACAAGAGAUGUAUCCGAAACAUCCAAAACAAACGCCCAAAAGUAGAAGGGUCCUCUCGAUCUGGCAACGCUCCUUGAAGAUUGUAAUCUUAGAGUUCAUUGUCAUUGUUAUGUUUAAACUUUGUUAACUUUUGAUAUUUGUGUUUAAACUUUGUUAACUUUUGCUAUUUAUAUUUAGACAUUGUUAACUUUUCAUA